CGUGUAGGCGGCAUGGCAAGUCAAAGGUGAAAGCCCUCGGCUCAACCGAGGAACUGCCUUUGAAACUGCCAAGCUAGAGACUGGGAGGGGGUGGCGGAAUUCCUGGUGUAGCGGUGAAAUGCGUAGAUAUCAGGAGGAACACCGGUGGCGAAGGCGGCCACCUGGACCAGUUCUGACGCUGAGGCGCGAAAGCGUGGGGAGCAAACA
rnacentral:rRNA from 1 species